GAAAUGCGAUAAGUAAUGUGAAUUGCAGAAUUCAGUGAAUCAUCGAAUCUUUGAACGCACAUUGCGCCCGCCAGUAUUCUGGCGGGCAUGCCUGUUCGAGCGUCAUUUCAACCAUCAAGCCCCCGGGCUUGUGUUGGGGACCUGCGGCUGCCGCAGGCCCCGAAAACCAGUUGCGGGCUCGCUGUCACACCGGGCGUAGUAGAUUUUUCGUCUCGCCCAGGGCGUGCUGCGGGUUCCGGCCGUUAAAAAGCCUCUCUUUUUAACCCAAGGUUGACCUCGGAUCAGGUAGGAAGACCCUCUGAACUUAAGC
rnacentral:misc_RNA from 1 species